rnacentral:lncRNA from 1 species
CCUUGGUACGCACCCUUUUAUAAUCUGAGCUUGCUUCCUAUUGUAAGAAGUUUUUAAAUGAAUGAAUGAACGCUGACUUUGAUCCCCUUGAUAAAAUAGGCACUAUAGCAGAGGCUUGGGUCGUGAUUUCCCUCAUCAGCUGUGAUACAGUCCACCAGAGCUGGAGGCUGGAAUGAUUGGCAGAUUCUUUCCCCUUGCUAAGUGCCAAGCAGGUGGUUCCUGUUCUGGAACGAAUUGGAGAUGUGCUUCUCUCUGUUCCCCUUACUGAGGACAGCUACAAUCUGUGGUCAUUACGUGUCAAACAAGCACGAGAAGACAGAAAAGUGGAGAGGAGGCAGGUCAGCUCGGGACUUCAGGCCUGAGGAAAAACGUGUAGUGAGUUUCUAGGUCUUCUGUUUGCCUCAAAUAGCUUCAAGUAGAUGCUAGGUAAGCCAGAGAUCUGGCAACAAGCACAGAAGAAAAGAAACCCCCCGAAAUCCAGCUUUCUCUAGCCAAAGGACUGAGAAAUCAGUAUCUUAGCAGGAAAAUUAAAAAAGAACUUUAAGUAAUUAUACUCCAUUCCAGACAAACACCACAGAAAAAUGGAGAGGCCCCAGCCCAUCAGCAAAGGCCAAGUGGGGUCCAGACUCCCACCUCUGCACAGUUGUGAGGAGACACCCCACCACUACCACCCGCUGCCGGCAUGGUACCAGUGGGAGCCUAAGAAAACAGGCAACAGUCUCGGUUUUUUAAGUCCUAAGUCUUGUAAUCCCCAAAAUGUUCUAAAUACAACAGAAGUCACUCAUCCUACCAAGAACCUGGAAAAUCUCAAUUUGAAUGAGAAAGGUCAGUAGCUGAUGCCAACACUGGAAAGACACAGAUGUUAGAAUUACCUGACAUGGAGUUUGAAGCAGUCACUGUGGAAUGCUCCAGUAAGCCAUUAAGAAUGCGCAUAAAACAAAGGAAAAAUAGUCUCAGUGAAGCAGUAGAUGGUAUAAAGAAGAGCCAAAGGGAAAUUUUAGAACUGAAAAAUCCAGUCACUGAAAUUUUAAAGCUUCAGUGGAUGAGCUCAACAGCAGAAUGAGAAGUUAAGACUCAAUAGACGUUGCCCAAAUGAACCUCAGAGGAAAACGAGAUAAGGGAGGGAGGAAGGGGAGAGGACAGAGCCUCAGGGACCUGCAGGAUGACAAGACCUGAUGUCUGUGUGAUCAGAGUCUCAGAAGAGGAGAAAGAGCGUGGGGCUGCAAAAAAAAAAAUCAUUCAGAAAGUUUCCAAAGUGACACUGAGUAAAAAUCUUGCCGAAGUUUUCAAACACAUGAAGGUAUAGAUUCACAAAAAGCUAGACACAUCUGGAGAGAUCCCUGCCAAGAUAUAUCACAGUCAAACUUCUGAAAAUGAAAGGCCAAUACAAAGUCGUGGGGCUGGGGUUGUAGCUCAGGGCUAGAGCAGUGGCCCACCACGUGUGAGGCCCUGGGUUCGGUCCCCUGAAAGCCAUGAGAGAUGAACACCACCACACAUGUGGGGUCCAGCAACUGGAAUGACACAGCAUUCAGGAACCACGGAGGUGGAAGGAAGUGGCACAUCAUUUUCCAAGUGCUGGGGAAAAAAAAGAACUGUCGGCCCCGGAUUCUCUUCCCAUGAAAUCCUUCAGGAAUGAAGGACCAGUGAAGACCUUCUGAGAUGAAGGAAACCCCAGAGCCUUGGUCACCACAGAUCCACCCUAAAGGAAUGACUAACAGAAGGUCUCGAAACAGAGAGGGAAGAAUACUGAUGGAAGCAUCGAGAGGAAAUAUCAACGAACAACAGAAAGAGCAAAAAUAGGGGGAACAACAAUAAAUGAUCCUUCUUGGGCUGAUUGAAGCAACAUUUGAAACAUCGUUUGCUGUGGCUCUAGAUGUAGAAGAAAUACUUAAGAUGGUUAGGGAAGUAAGUCUUCUAUACUCCACCCAAAUUAGUAGACUGGAAACCCCACUAUGUUGUGAUAAAUUGUACAUAUGACAUCUGAAGAAAAGCUAAAAAUCUAUUCAGAGAGAUAAAUUCAGAAACACUGAAAGUAAAUCAAAAUAGAAUUCUAAAAUAUGUUCAAGCAACAGGAAGGAAGGAAAAAACAAAAGAGAAGGAUUAAAGAGAUAAACAAAAAAUAAACUGUCAACCAGGUGUUGUGGCACACACCCAUAAUCCCAGCUAUUUGGGAGGCUGAGACAGGUGGAUUACAGGUUCAAGGCCAGCCUGGGGAAGAUGGUGAGCCCCAAGUCUCAAAAUUAAUUAAUUAAAUGUCAUACUUACGUUCUGAAUAUAUCAGUAAUUACAUUAAAUAUAAAAGGCCUAAAUUUGUUAAUUAAAAGAUAUUUUGGC